rnacentral:tRNA from 1 species
GCGCCCGUAGCUCAGUGGAUAGAGCACUGGCCUCCGGAGCCAGGAGCGUAGGUUCGAUUCCUAUCGGGCGUACCA